UACGUAGGGGGCAAGCGUUGUCCGGAUUUAUUGGGCGUAAAGAGCGUGUAGGCGGCUAGGUAGGUGGGUUGUGAAAACUGGAGGCUCAACCUUCAGACGUCGACCCAAACCCCCUGGCUAGAGUCCGGAAGAGGAGAGUGGAAUUCCUGGUGUAGCGGUGAAAUUCGUAGAUAUCGAGAAGAACACCGGUGGCGAAGGCGGCCAUCUGGACAGAUACUGACGCUGAGACGCGAAAGCGUGGGGAGCAAACAGG
rnacentral:rRNA from 1 species